UCCCUGAUGGCUCAGAGGUUAAAGCGUCUGCCUCCAAUGCGGGAGACCUGGGUUCGAUCCCUGGGUGGGGAA
rnacentral:tRNA from 1 species